CCCCACAAGUCUGUGAUUUAGAUCAGUCCCUGGAGCAAGAAAGCAGCAGAAGCAAGAAAUCAGCAUUUCUGAAACCUCUCCUGGUACCUGAGGUACCUUAGCUCUGGAGCAGAGGAACAAUCCCUCUGUUCUGACAUGUGUUGAACCCUGAGCAGAGCUCUCUGAAUUCAGGGGAUGCCCAGGAAAUAUAGCCAAGCUUCAUUUUGGCAAGGAAAACAUUUCCUGCCAUGGCUGGGGAGGGGCCCAGCCCCUGCAGAACCCAAACCCAAAGGGCAGUAACUGGGCUGCAGCAAGCAGCUCCUGCCCAGCACCAGCUGAGGGGCUGAGAUGUGACCUCACUGCUGUCACAGCCUGGGAGGUUUCGUUAGCUGAGCUCUGUGAUAGUAAGUUAGUUAUUCUUGUGCUUGUUUGUUUGUUUAUUUGUGGUUUGUUUUUGUGAAAACCUAAUCUUCUGGUUUAAUAAAUAACAUGCUGCAGGAGAGGUUCCAGUGGCUAGGGGCCAAGUGAUGCUGAUGGCUGGAGACCAAAGGAACUGGCAAGAAGAAGACACAUCCCUUCAGGCUGCUUGGAAGGGAAUUUGGAUGUAAAAUAACCAGGAUUGCCCCUGGAGCCCCUUUCAAGAAGGAUGCCCUACUGGCCAUCUUUUGUUGCCUUGGUGAAUCCCUCAGGAGGAUGCUACAGCUGCCAUCAGCCCCUGCACGACUGUCCCUUGCUGGCUCAGGAACUUCAGCCUUGGUCACAUCUCUUCCUUUGGUCAGAGCUGCACGAAGGACAGAGUUUUGAAGUAAUUGUAUAUUGUACCAAUACUUAAAAGUCCUGUCUUCAUUCCUCCCUUCCUUUGGUGUGUGAGUCAUUCCAGCAAACCUAUCGUGCUUUAAAUUAAUUGGGUCUUGGAAGGGGACAGAGAUAAUGAGCCAUUCCAGGACGGCAUUUCUUAAAAGCCAGGGGAUGUACAGCACAGGGGAGGGUGCUGCCUGAGCCUUCCUCACCUUGUCAAACAUAUCCAGCUCUUUCCUGAGCGUGUGGCAGGGUCUGUGCAGUGUCUGACAGCUGCUGGCCUCCACUCCAGACCCCUCUGAAGGGAAGCUGCUCUGACAAAGCUCUGCUUGCAGAACUAGAGCUGGGCUCAGACCCUGGGAGAGCUGUGUGAGUUUUGAACUGCUCAGCAAAGGUUGUUGUGAGUUCAGUGCAGUGGGGGUGUGAGUGUGGGUGGCACACGGUCCCACCUGUAUGUGGGGUUGUCUCUGCUCACUGUUCCUGUACCUCAAAGAAGCUCUGGCUGGUGCCCCUGCAGAGUGAGCUGCAGGCAGGGAUGAAGGAAUUAAUAUUCUUGAUAACAGCCUCCAUGCACAACACACACACAGAGUGACUUCCCCCUCCCACUCUUUGUCAAGAUCCUUUCAUUAGCAAAGAGUUUUCUGUUAAGGAAAACAGGAUUUUAUUGGGUUUUGUUUGUUUGUUUAUUUGUUUUUCUGUCUUGGCUACCACACAAGGGGAGGAGAACCACCUACUAAAAAGAAAACACUGUACAGAGUGUUCAAGGCUCAGAGGCUUCUGAAGCUGAGAGUUCACCCCAGCAAAGGACAAUGAAAUGGAUGGGUCUAGCUCCCACACAGAUAGGCUGCACCAAAGCAAAGGGCAGAGUUUGAUGGGCCAAGCCAUGGCCAGGCUGGAGCACUCAGAGCUGGCAGGACAGCACAGGUAGGAGCAGGCUGUCACUGCUGCCUGCUAGGGUUUCACAUCCCACUGAAAAUCAGGGGGCCAGCAAUCAGACAGGAAUUGGG
ensembl:lncRNA